AGCCUUCUGUAUCCGUGCUGAGAUUUCGUCAUACACCAGACCACAAGGGCUG
rnacentral:pre_miRNA from 1 species